UACAGAGGGGGCAAGCGUUAUUCGGAAUUAUUGGGCGUAAAGGGCGCGUAGGCGGCCAGGCAAGUGGAAGGUGAAAUCCCUCGGCUUAACCGAGGAACUGCCCUCCAAACUGCUUGGCUUGAGACCGGGAGAGGUGAGUGGAAUUCCCAGUGUAGCGGUGAAAUGCGUAGAUAUUGGGAGGAACACCAGUGGCGAAGGCGGCUCACUGGACCGGUACUGACGCUGAUGCGCGAAAGCGUGGGGAGCAAACGGG
rnacentral:rRNA from 1 species